rnacentral:rRNA from 1 species
UACGUAGGGGGCAAGCGUUGUCCGGAAUCAUUGGGCGUAAAGAGCGCGUAGGCGCCCAGUAAGUCCGCUCUGAAAGUCAGGGGCUCAACCCCUGGAUGCGGGUGGAUACUGCUGGGCUAGAGUCCGGAAGAGGUGAGUGGAAUUCCUGGUGUAGCGGUGAAAUGCGCAGAUAUCAGGAGGAACACCGGUGGCGAAGGCGGCUUUCUGGGCCUUACCUGACGCUGAGGAGCGAAAGCUGGGGGAGCGAACAGG